UAGCUCAAAUAGCAAUGCUAAACACCACUUUCUGUCUCUUUCUGGUGCCUUGUGUGUAUAAAAUUUUAUGCAUCUUUAGAGCAUCUUAUGCUUUUGUUGAUGUUGGUCUCAUGCUUCACAUGCCAUAGAUGAUCUGACAGGGCUAAUGCCUAACUGUACUCAUUGACAUCUUUCCUUCAUAAUUCUUACCUUUUAUAUUUGUAUGUCUUCAUUUGGGGAGGGUGAACCUUGAACUUUGCUUUAAUUGCAAUUGAGACCGAGGAGUUAAAUGUUCAAAGUUUAGAAACGGCCUUCUUGCAAUCUACUGGGAAGGUUGCAUGUUUCUGGCCCUACAUAGAUGAAGCCUCGUGCACUAGGACUAUCUUUUUCUGUCCCUCUUAUCUAAUUCUAUUUUUAUCUUCCCAAAUACACACAAACUGACUUUGUUGAAUAUAUUGUGCAGGCUAUAUUUAAACCUCCAAAGG
rnacentral:misc_RNA from 1 species